AACGAACGCUGGCGGCAUGCCUAACACAUGCAAGUCGAACGAUCCCUUCGGGGAUAGUGGCGCACGGGUGCGUAACGCGUGGGAACCUGCCCUUAGGUUCGGAAUAACUCAGAGAAAUUUGAGCUAAUACCGGAUAAUGUCUUCGGACCAAAGAUUUAUCGCCUUUGGAUGGGCCCGCGUUGGAUUAGCUAGUUGGUGGGGUAAAGGCCUACCAAGGCGACGAUCCAUAGCUGGUCUGAGAGGAUGAUCAGCCACACUGGGACUGAGACACGGCCCAGACUCCUACGGGAGGCAGCAGUGGGGAAUAUUGGACAAUGGGCGAAAGCCUGAUCCAGCAAUGCCGCGUGAGUGAUGAAGGCCUUAGGGUUGUAAAGCUCUUUUACCCGGGAUGAUAAUAACAGUACCGGGAGAAUAAGCCCCGGCUAACUCCGUG
rnacentral:rRNA from 1 species